rnacentral:rRNA from 1 species
UACGUAGGGGGCAAGCGUUGGCCGGAAUCAUUGGGCGUAAAGCGCGUGUAGGCGGCUCGGUAAGUCUGCUGUGAAAGUCCAGGGCUCAACCCUGGGAUGCCGGUGGAUACUGUCGAGCUCGAGUCCGGAAGAGGCGAGUGGAAUUCCUGGUGUAGCGGUGAAAUGCGCAGAUAUCAGGAGGAACACCAAUGGCGAAGGCAGCUCGCUGGGACGUGACUGACGCUGAGACGCGAAAGCGUGGGGAGCAAACAGG